rnacentral:rRNA from 1 species
GAUGAACGCUGGCGGCGUGCCUAAUACAUGCAAGUAGAACGCUGAAGCUUGGUGCUUGCACCGAGCGGAUGAGUUGCGAACGGGUGAGUAACGCGUAGGUAACCUGCCUCUUAGCGGGGGAUAACUAUUGGAAACGAUAGCUAAUACCGCAUAAAAGUCGAUAUCGCAUGAUGUUGACUUGAAAGGUGCAAUUGCAUCACUAAGAGAUGGACCUGCGUUGUAUUAGCUAGUUGGUGAGGUAACGGCUCACCAAGGCGACGAUACAUAGCCGACCUGAGAGGGUGAUCGGCCACACUGGGACUGAGACACGGCCCAGACUCCUACGGGAGGCAGCAGUAGGGAAUCUUCGGCAAUGGGGGCAACCCUGACCGAGCAACGCCGCGUGAGUGAAGAAGGUUUUCGGAUCGUAAAGCUCUGUUGUAAGAGAAGAACGAGUGUGAGAGUGGAAAGUUCACACUGUG